UUUCCGUAGGUGAACCUGCGGAAGGAUCAUUAUUGAAUAACCGAGGUGCGAGGGCUGUCGCUGACCCGAAAGGUCGUGCACGCCCGAGUGCCCUCACACACAUCCACCUCACCCCUAUGUGCACCACCGCGUGGGUCCCCCUUUGGCUUGUUCGGAGGGGGGCUUACGUUUUCACACAAACUUUGUAUGCAGUGUAGAAUGUAUUUUUUGUUUUUGCGAUCACGCAAUCAAUACAACUUUCAACAACGGAUCUCUUGGCUCUC
rnacentral:misc_RNA from 1 species